ensembl:lncRNA
GGCACGAUGACACCACCACUUCCAGGGCAGCCUAUCCCAACGUAUCACCACUCUUUCUGAGAAUAAAUUUUUCCGAAUAUCAACUUGAACCUCCCCUGGUGCAACUUGAGGCCAUCACCUCUCAUCCUAUCACUGUUACCUGGGAGAAGAGACCAAAUUCUACCUCACCACAGCCUCCUUCCAGGGAGCUGUAGAGAGUGAAAGGAUCUCCCCUAAGCCUCCUCUUCUCCAGACUGAACAAUCCCAGUUCCCUCUGCCUCUCCUCAGACUUGUGCUCCAGAUUCUUCUCUGGAUGUGCUCCAGGGCCUCUAUGCCUUUCUUGUAAUGAGGGGUCCAAAACACAGUACUUGAGGUGGACCUCAUCUGUGUAGUGUUGAUAACUCAAGUAGCAGAAGUCCAGGUGAAAGAGAGGUCACCAUCAUCCUUGCCCCAUACCAAUAUUUCUCUCAUGCAUUUACAAGAUGUAUCAGUAUUAAAUGUCUUUCCCACCAAUUGUGUUGUCAGCAUUCCCCUCGUUACAACUCGUGUAAGGCCAUGCAAACAGAGGACAGCGCAGCAGGAGCUCUUGGCAUGAUCCAGGACUUGGCUUGACUUGCAGCAAGGAAGUUUCAGGUUCAUCCAGGCCUCAGUGUGCACCACCACAACUACACACAUGAGGAGUGAGGGAGCUGCCAUCCAACUAAAGCCAUGUACAUGUGUUGUCUGACCUGUACCCAAGGUGCCAGAGAUGAUGCUGGGCAGUAUAUUGCAGGCCAUGCAGUAACCUUCUGGUGACCAAAAGUGCAUUUCAGUGGUUCUGUUCCCUGUGAAUAGAAGGCUGCACCUCGAGACUUGGGUUCAGUUUGGGGCCCCUUGCCACAAGAAAGGCAUUGAGGCCCUGGAAUAUAUCCAGAGGAGGGCAAUGGGGCUAUGAAGGGUCUGGAGCACAAGUCUUAUGAAAAUUGGCUUAAAUACUUUCAUCUUGUUUGUGAGCUUUGCACUGUGAUAUACAGUUUUCAUAAACUGAACCUCACAAAACACUCUGGAUUAAUUUGGAAGUGACCAUUUCACAAGGAUUUGUUUUCCAUAAAUUGCUUUUAUUCAUAACAUCCCCGCUGUUCUUGCAAAACCAUAGGUUUCCUUAUCCCAGAAUUCAUGCAGUCUUCUCAGGCAGUUAGACAGGAAAAGCAAUGAAUUUCCAACUUUUGUUGUGCGCGUUAGGUCAAAGUGCUUUUCUGUGAAGAAAGUGGGUAUUAGGUAAAUACCCGUAAUUACAAUCUCUUAGAAAAAUAAAACCCCUAAUCUUGAAGCUAAAUACAAAUACAGUGUACUACAGGAGAGGUCUCUAUACAGCUUUCCAUAGAAGAACUUACAGGACAUGAACGCUAUAACUACGUUCUCAACAGGCUUAGGACACGGAACUGAGAUAUAACUAUAUUUACUGUAUUAAAAAUUCUUCAUAACUGGACCACGAUUUCUUGUUACUUGGACGAAAAGAAAAUAAAAAUUUUCUUUGUUCCACUGCCUUUCAGGUUUUGUCAGCUACAAACCUUUCAAUAUACUGAAAAACACUAAGUAUACAAGACACAUUUAAUUAAAACCAUAAAUGUUCAUAUGCACACUCAGACAUUUGCAUGCCAUUUAAAAUUAUAUCGCUGAAGUUAUAUUUUCUGAGUGAAAAAUCCUGCAAGUGCUCUUUUUAUCUUUUUCUUUUUCCUAGACUGAUGAAGUUAAUUUGGAAUAUUUACUCUCUUUCAAACAUUCAGUUUCAAGAGCUGAGGAACAACGCAGCUUGUUUAUUCACAGUGCAGACUUCCAUCUUACGUUUCAUAGCUUCUUUUGUCCAAGUCACUUGUAAGACUCUAAUUCAAAUAUUCCAUCCUUUUUUUUUUUUUUUCUUUUUUUCCUAAGCCCUCUGUAUGUUGUGCAUCAACUUUCAUUUAGCAGCUGGAUUCAGUUGCAAUUUCACCAGAAGUGUCAGAUUUCUUUUCCAGAUCAAUUUUGCUCAUUGAAUCUUCAGCACAUAUAUCCCUUAAAAAAGUUUAUAAUAUAACACUUCACGAGAAGCGACACUUGAUGCAACAGAAAAAAAAGUUCAAGAUUUUCCAUAUUCUUGAAAAAAAACACCACAUCAAAAAACAGUGGUGCUGUGGAAGUUUUUCUCUAAGCAGUUUCCUAAUAAGAACCUGGUGCUUCUUGGUGACUUUGUGAGCCAUUACAUAACAUCUAUUUAUGUUACUACUGGCUCACAGGAUCAGAUUCAUAGCCUGUACUUAAAAAACCUCAGUGGGUUAUAAAACAAGAUUGCAUCUCUCUAUGAUGCGUAUCGUAUUUGCAGCAAGAUGAAACAGUAAUAAAUUUAGAUUAGCUCCUUUAGGGCAUUCUGAACUCUACCUGUUUCUGCAUCUUCAGCCGGAAGGAAAAUAAAUGGAGUGAUAAAGUGCAAACCAUGUGGCAGAAGAAGAAAGGAUAAUAAGCUCUACUAAAGCAUUAUCUAUAUGUAUUAUAUAUAUUAUAUAUAUAUAUAUAUUUCAGAUUAUAUAUAUAUAAUCUAUCUACCUAUCUAUUUAUCUAUCUGCCUAAAACCAAACAAGAAAAAAAGUCUAUCUCUGUUCCUAUUAAGGUUACAGAAUGGAAAUGUACAACGUAACACAAAACUUCAAAUUAGGAUUAAAUAUAUACUUAUCUUAUUUGUGCAAAGUUCAGGGAGUCUAAGAAAAUCACGGACAAAAAUAGCAAGCUAUCAUUUAGAAAAACAAAUCUUUGACCUUAACUUUAUCUAUACAAAGGGAAAUCUUCAAAGUGUGGUUAGAAGAAGGUCUAAAAUUUAACAACCAGUGUCAUGAAUCCUACUUUAAGAUGCUGCUACCACAGGACUGCAAGACUGCAGUUGAAAGAAAAAGCUCUAAAUCUUUUGUACCUUCUCUUAAACAAAAUAAAACUAAGAAAACAUG